AGUGAACGCUGGCGGUAGGCCUAACACAUGCAAGUCGAACGGCAGCACAGGAGAGCUUGCUCUCUGGGUGGCGAGUGGCGGACGGGUGAGGAAUACAUCGGAAUCUACUCUGUCGUGGGGGAUAACGUAGGGAAACUUACGCGAAUACCGCAUACGACCUACGGGUGAAAGCAGGGGAUCUUCGGACCUUGCGCGAUUGAAUGAGCCGAUGUCGGAUUAGCUAGUUGGCGGGGUAAAGGCCCACCACGGCGACGAUCCGUAGCUGGUCUGAGAGGAUGACCAGCCACACUGGAACUGUGACACGGUCCAGACUCCUACGGGAGGCAGCAGUGGGGAAUAUUGGACAAUGGGCGCAAGCCUGAUCCAGCCAUACCGCGUGGGUGAAGAAGGCCUUCGGGUUGUAAAGCCCUUUUGUUGGGAAAGAAAUCCAGCUGGCUAAUACCCGGUUGGGAUGACGGUACCCAAAGAAUAAGCACCGGCUAACUUCGUGCCAGCCGCCGCGGUAA
rnacentral:rRNA from 1 species